CUUUUGCGGUAAAUAUUACCGUGUAUUUGUAUUUGAUUAAUAAAAGGCGUAAUACUCCCAUUCAAAUAAGUAUUUAUAUCAAUUUACACUUGGACAUUUGAUUCCCUCAUUAAAAUGUAUGCAAAUCGCCUGUAUCUAUAGUAUUUCCUUGCAAACCAUAACCUGUAGAUACCCCUUUACAAUUUCCAUGUUUGCUGCCUUUUUACAUGUCUUUACAUCUUAAUUCCAGAUAAACCGCCACCAGGAUCACCGAUAUCCAACUGGCCGUGUUCUCGAACAUUCUGGGAGUCUCAAUUUUCUUAUUGGUCAUCCUGUACCACUACAUCAAUGCUAACAGUUCCAAAUAGAUGCAGGUGUGGCAGCCCCUUCCAACAUAAUUUACUAAUAAUGUAAGCCUCUAUAAUGUUAAUACAUAAGAAUUAUUUGUAAAGUA